rnacentral:rRNA from 1 species
ACUCCUACGGGAGGCAGCAGUGAGGAAUAUUCGGCAAUGGGGGGCAACCCUGACCGAGCAACGCCGCGUGGAGGAUGACGGUUUUCGGAUUGUAAACUCCUUUUCUCAGGGAAGAGCGAGGACGGUACCUGGGGAAUAAGUCACGGCUAACUACGUGCCAGCAGCCGCGGUAAU